UACGGAGGAUCCAAGCGUUAUCCGGAAUCAUUGGGUUUAAAGGGUCCGUAGGCGGUUUAAUAAGUCAGUGGUGAAAGCCCAUCGCUCAACGAUGGAACGGCCAUUGAUACUGUUAGACUUGAAUUAUUAGGAAGUAACUAGAAUAUGUAGUGUAGCGGUGAAAUGCUUAGAGAUUACAUGGAAUACCAAUUGCGAAGGCAGGUUACUACUAAUAUAUUGACGCUGAUGGACGAAAGCGUGGGUAGCGAACAGGAUUAGAUACCCUGGUAGUCCACGCUGUAAACGAUGGAUACUAGCUGUUCGGAGCAAUCUGAGUGGCUAAGCGAAAGUGAUAAGUAUCCCACCUGGGGAGUACGAACGCAAGUUUG
rnacentral:rRNA from 1 species